GGCUAGUUAGCUCAGUUGGUAAGAGCAGUGUACUUAAAAAGCCAAGGUCAUGGGUUCAAUCCCCACACUGGCCG